AGUCACUGACAUUAGAUACCCCCGUAGUCCCAGCCGUAAACAAUGUGCGUUAGGUGUGUCGGUAACCACGUGUUACUGAUGCGCCGAAGAGAAAUCGUGAAACGCACCACCUGGGAAGUACGGUCGCAAGGCUGAAACUUAAAGGAAUUGGCGGGGAGCACCACAACAGGUGGAGCCUGCGGUUUAAUUGGACUCAACGCCGGGAAGCUCACCGGAUAGGACAGCAGAAUGAUUGCCGGGCUGAAGACCCUGCAUGACUAGCUG
rnacentral:rRNA from 1 species